rnacentral:lncRNA from 1 species
AUUCAGAUACAAACAUCGAAUCAAACAUGCCUUAUGUGACAUCUCUAGGAUUUGAAAUAGUCGUGUGUAUAUAGCUAAAACUUUUAAUCCAGGUAUAGCAUUUUGGACCGUGACUAAACUCGAGGAUAAGAGGGUUAAGCAUGCUAGAGCCAUAAUAGUUCUAGAAUAGAUAACCCUCUGAGAAGCAGGGUGUCAUAGUUGAUAUCAAAGCCAAUCACCAGCUGGAAAUGUGAGAUAAGUCUCGACUAAACUAGGAUUAUACAGCGGGUAGAGCAAGCUUCCCAACUGAUGACCGUUAUAGGUGAAGAGCAACUCCCUAUAAGGUCAGCUAAAUGCUAGUGAACUGAGUUUUACAUCACCUGGUGCUUGUGAAUAUGCUUAAGCCUAACGAAAACAUUAAGGCUUAAAGUGGGGCGAGGGGAGGGGAGAGGGGGGAGGAAUAUGACAUUUCAUCAGAUUUAGAAUAGUCCUAUAUAUAUAAGAUAUAAUAGGGCUAAAUCAUUUAACCCAGUUAUAAUAUUUGGAGUUGU